AAAAGCAGAAGCUGAGAGACUUCUUCUGUCUUAGCCAUAGAAUGGAGGUGAUGCAGAUGCACCUACACUACAUGUUAAAAUCACAAAGAGAGCCUCAGUGCCAACUAAGAUUCAAGAAGAUGGGACGGCAUAAGAUUGGUGUUUUCUUGAUCUACAUCUCAGUGGGAAAAGAGUGGCUUUCCUUGAGAAACCAGCAAACAGCAGUGCCAUUUGGGGAUGUCAAUGAUACCAACCCUGUUCAGUGCCUCUGUGUUCUCACACUUGUCUGCGGAUCAUCUGGAUGGAUCCAAUACACUACAGUGCUCAUUGUGAGAGCCCAGACAAACUGAUUUAAAGGACGGGAGUUGGGAAAUGAAAGAGAGAGAGAGAUGGUAAAGUUUUCUGAAUGCGAUGGCAUGGUGAAGUCUAAUUUCAUUGAAAUGACCCAGAGGGAAGUAAGCGAUACCAAAUAGGAGAAAGGAAAACUGAUUAAAGACAAACUCCAAUGUUUACCUCCAUCCCUGUCUUUCCUUAUGAAAGUCAACUUCACCUGAGAGAGAGAGAAGAAACAAAAUAUAUUUUUACAGAAUUUAGAGAGAUGGGUGUGACUGUCAUGGGGUACCUGAGAAAUUGUUAGGAAGUAUAGAAAAUAAUUGCUGCUUUAAAGUUACAAAUCAUAGCUUUCUCCCCUGCUGCAGCGAACACCAUCACCCACAUGAAGAAGCAAACUUGAAAUCCAGCCGGUUAUGUAAAUCCUAUCAGAAUCAUACAAUAUAUCUUACUUGACUCCAGGAGUGAAAUAACCACCUCAAAUCUGUCAUGUUUGAAGAUCUUGUUCAAAUUCUUUAUUUUUAAACUUCAUUUUCCUUUAUGUCAAGGGCUACCCUAGGUGAGUGUAGAGAGGUCUCUGUGCUUGAUUUUACUGCUCACAGGUGUUAUAUUUUACAGUAACCUUAACAUUCUGAGGUGACUCCACUUGGCCACCUCAGAUGGUUAACUGAGAUUGGCAUUGGUCACACCUAGGUGGAGCCUUUCCUUUCCCUUCACUUGGGAGUGAAAGCUUAUUAUCAUCAAGAGACUAGAGCAGUAAGAUAGACAAUGGUUUCCUUCGACUAAUCUUGUCUGUUUUGGAAGGUCAACUCCCUGCAUUUUCAGUAAAAAAUCACGGUUUUGCCUUAUUCCUGGUACCAGGACUUAUUUUCAUGUUUAUCAGUGCUGUAUUUUUCUUUGACAUGUUCGGCAUGCUAUUGCUUUUCUAGUAAUCUGUUUCUCUUUCCCAAACCAUGAAUGUAUUGUCCUUGGGCCUAUUCUCUCACAUUAAGCAAAUAAAACUUCUAUGGCUCAGUAAGCUUUCACAGCCUUUAUUAUUAGCAAUGACAUUCUAUUGAGCCUAAUGGAAAACCACUACAUAAUAAUGAGAUCUCACAGAGAUGAAAACCAGCACGUUUUCCUUUUAAUUGCUGAGUAUGAUCAGAAUGUUGCAUUUUACUGCAGCUAAAUAUUAAGAGCUACUCUUCAUUAAUAAUACUUCCCUUUUACCAGGCACUUAUCAUGCGUUUAGAGUUAAUCUUCACAACAACCUAAACAUGUUGACUUCCUUUUAUCACGUAAAUACAGAUGCAGAAAAUCCAGGAUUCAGGUCACCAACAAGUGGCAGAACUAGAUUUGGAAUUGACUCUGCCCAACCCUGAAGCCCCUGGUCCUUCAGUAAAGAACUGCCUCUCAACAUAGUCUGUAGUCAGCAGUAAAAAUAAAGUUUUCAAGCAUUCAGAUCACUCUAAAAUGCCUCUUUAACAUGUCAUUUUCCCCAAAUAUUAAUAAAAGCCUCCACUCAAUUGUAAUUCUUCCUAAUUAAGUGAAAAAUAAGGGGAAAAAAAAUCAAAACAGAAAUAGGAACUUGGGAAAAGAGAAAAGAUUCCCUUCAACCAUAUGCCUCCGUGGCACCUAUAAACUUGUAGUUCUUUUUGAGUGCUGGCCAGAAAGGAAUAGGGUCAGAGAAAUGAAAGCAGAACCAGAUGUGGGCAAGUCUAGGUGACCUGCCAAGUGGAAGAUAAUGUUCUAUACAGAUGCAGACACAAACGUAGUGAAUAAAAAUCUUAAAGACAUACUCAUCUCCAUUCACUGGGCACCAAACAAUGAGAUAAACACACAUCUAUCAAGGGUGAUGCUGUAAAACUUAGCUCUAAGGUUUGGCAUAUAGAGUUCUAUUUCCAUUCUGAAUUGUCUUCAACUUCCUUUGCUGAGCAUUAUGGGACCAAAGUCUUAACUGAUUGCAAAUGUUUCUGUGGUAAACUUUUCCAUGGGAGUCACCAGCUGGAUUCAGCAGGGCUUCGUCUUUUGCAGUAAAACUUGGGAAAGAGUGGGUAACAACAAAAUCUUCCUGUAGGACAUCACUGUAAAAAGUUGUCAAUAAAUGUGUUUUCUGUGUUUGUUAAAGUGCAGGGUGCUCAGGAGGAGCAGGUAAAAUAAAGCCAUAAAAAAAGUA